UACGUAGGGUGCGAGCGUUAAUCGGAAUUACUGGGCGUAAAGCGUGCGCAGGCGGUUUUGUAAGCCAGAUGUGAAAGCCCCGGGCUUAACCUGGGAAUGGCAUUUGUGACUGCAUGGCUAGAGUGCGGCAGAGGGGGAUGGAAUUCCGCGUGUAGCAGUGAAAUGCGUAGAUAUGCGGAGGAACACCGAUGGCGAAGGCAAUCCCCUGGGCCUGCACUGACGCUCAUGCACGAAAGCGUGGGGAGCAAACAGG
rnacentral:rRNA from 1 species